CAUUCCCUCGCCUUUGCUGCAGUGUGCCUUGGCAGCUGUGUCAAGAACGUGGGCUAUGGCAAAGCAGACACUGGUCAGAAAUACCAACAAUUCCAAGGCUGCUUCCAAAGGAGUAAAGAUGAAAUGAAGAAACAUCUUGGGACGGCCUGAGAGGGAAAUGUAGAAGGCAGGAAGGAAGGGCAUACCAACCGGCUGCCUUGGUGGCAGCGGACCGAGCCUCAGGGCCCAGCUCCUCGUGCCUCGUCAGCUGCCAGACAAUCCCACAUCCGGGACUCGUGUGAGGAG